rnacentral:rRNA from 1 species
GAUGAACGCUGGCGGCGUGCCUAAUACAUGCAAGUCGAGCGAACAGACGAGGAGCUUGCUCCUCUGAUGUUAGCGGCGGACGGGUGAGUAACACGUGGAUAACCUACCUAUAAGACUGGGAUAACUUCGGGAAACCGGAGCUAAUACCGGAUAAUAUAUUGAACCGCAUGGUUCAAUAGUGAAAGACGGUUUUGCUGUCACUUAUAGAUGUAUCCGCGCCGCAUUAGCUAGUUGGUAAGGUAACGGCUUACCAAGGCAACGAUGCGUAGCCGACCUGAGAGGGUGAUCGGCCACACUGGAACUGAGACACGGUCCAGACUCCUACGGGAGGCAGCAGUAGGGAAUCUUCCGCAAUGGGCGAAAGCCUGACGGAGCAACGCCGCGUGAGUGAUGAAGGUCUUCGGAUCGUAAAACUCUGUUAUUAGGGAAGAACAAAUGUGUAAGUAACUAUGCACGUCUUGACGGUACCUAAUCAGAAAGCCACGGCUAACUACGUG